AUACAGAGGGUGCGAGCGUUAAUCGGAAUUACUGGGCGUAAAGCGCGCGUCGGCGGCUUAUUAAGUCAGAUGUGAAAUCCCCGGGCUCAACCCGGGAACUGCAUCUGAUACUGGUAAGCUAGAGUUUUGGAGAGGGAAGUAGAAUUUCAGGUGUAGCGGUGAAAUGCAUAGAGAUCUGAAGGAAUACCAGUGGCGAAGGCGACUUCCUGGCCAAAAACUGACGCUGAGGUGCGAAAGCGUGGGUAGCAAACGGGAUUAGAAACCCUAGUAGUCC
rnacentral:rRNA from 1 species